rnacentral:rRNA from 1 species
GUGGGGGAUAUUGCACAAUGGGGGAAACCCUGAUGCAGCGACGCCGCGUGAAGGAAGACGUACUUCGGUAUGUAAACUUCUAUCAGCAGGGAAGAAGAUGACGGUACCUGACUAAGAAGCCCCGGCUAACUACGUGCCAGCAGCCGCGGUAAUACGUAGGGGGCAAGCGUUAUCCGGAUUUACUGGGUGUAAAGGGAGCGUAGACGGUGAAGCAAGUCUGAUGUGAAAACCCGGGGCUCAACUCCGGGAUUGCAUUGGAAACUGUUUUACUUGAGUGCUGGAGGGGCAAGCGGAAUUCCUGGUGUAGCGGUGAAAUGCGUAGAUAUCAGGAAGAACACCGGUGGCGAAGGCGGCUUGCUGGACAGUAACUGACGUUGAGGCUCGAAAGCGUGGGGAGCAAACAGGAUUAGAUACCCCGGUAGUCC